rnacentral:rRNA from 1 species
CCUACGGGUGGCAGCAGUGAGGAAUAUUGGUCAAUGGGCGAGAGCCUGAACCAGCCAAGUCGCGUGAGGGAGUACUGCCCUAUGGGUUGUAAACCUCUUUUGUCGGGGAGCAAAAGCCGGACGUGUCCGGCUGUGAGAGUACCCGAAGAAAAAGCAUCGGCUAACUCCGUGCCAGCAGCCGCGGUAAUAAGGAGGAUGCGAGCGUUAUCCGGAUUUAUUGGGUUUAAAGGGUGCGCAGGCGGAUUUUUAAGUCAGCGGUAAAAUCGUGGGGCUCAACCCCAUCCAGCCGUUGAAACUGGGGAUCUAGAGUGUGCGAGAGGUAUGCGGAAUGCGUGGUGUAGCGGUGAAAUGCAUAGAUAUCACGCAGAACCCCGAUUGCGAAGGCAGCAUACCGGUGCACAACUGACGCUCAGGCACGAAAGCGUGGGUAUCGAACAGGAUUAGAUACCCUUGUAGUC